CCAUGCCCAGUGCAGAGCCCAACAUGGGGCUCAGUCUUACAACCCUGAGAUCAUGACCCAAGUUCAAAUCAAGAGUUGGACACUUAACUGACUGAGCCACCCAGGUACCCCUACUGCACCUUCUUAUUUAUACGAGAAGGAUUAAAGGAGAAGGAGAGACAAACAUUAACUAAUUACCUGAGUUUCCGUGGACUGUUCCAUUGGAAGUCUCACACUUCACAAGCAUUUCCCCUCUGUGAUACUUGUUAUUGUGUGGAACAAGACAUUUAAAGUUAUGGAGGAAGGAAUUUGUGGCUUCUCGUCCCGCUCUGUAUGCAGCUGUGCCAGCCAGCCAGUCACUCACUGCGUCAUCCGUAUUCUGGACCUCCAUUUCACAGGCAGGGAAACAGAAUCUCAGAUACAUUAAAGAAAUGGCCCGAAGCCAUUCAUCUAGCAAAUGGCAGAUCCAAUGUUCAAACCCAAGAUCUUUAAUUAGAAAAUCAAAACUGGGGCGCCUGGGUGGCUCAGUGGGUUA